UACGGAGGAUGCAAGCGUUAUCCGGAAUGAUUGGGCGUAAAGCGUCCGCAGGUGGCAAUGUAAGUCUGCUGUUAAAGAGUCUAGCUCAACUAGAUACAAGCAGUGGAAACUACAUAGCUAGAGUACGUUCGGGGCAGAGGGAAUUCCUGGUGUAGCGGUGAAAUGCGUAGAGAUCAGGAAGAACACCGGUGGCGAAGGCGCUCUGCUGGACCAUAACUGACACUCAGGGACGAAAGCUAGGGGAGCGAAUGGG
rnacentral:rRNA from 1 species